rnacentral:rRNA from 1 species
AGUGAACGCUGGCGGCAGGCCUAAUACAUGCAAGUCGAACGGCAGCACAGCAGAGCUUGCUCUGUGGGUGGCGAGUGGCGGACGGGUGAGGAAUACAUGGGAAUCUGCCCAGUCGUGGGGGAUAACGUAGGGAAACUUACGCUAAUACCGCAUGCGCCCUUCGGGGAAAGGCCGGGGACCGUUCGGGCCGUGGCGGCGAU